AAGCAAGCCAUAUAACCUGUGUGAGAUAAGCUAAUUCUUGGACAAUGAUCCAUAUGGGAAAUUUAUAUAUUUCAGUUAGUUUUCCGUUAUAUAUUGCUAAUAUUGGAAUUUGGAAAUCAUCAUUAAUUUUCUUUUCUUGUUAUUAUUUUCUCAUUUAGCUUCUUUGUUGUGAGGCUUACUCUAGUCAGUCAUGUCUUCUUGUUGCUUUCAAGCUACCGUAUUUUAUAGGUUUGCAUUGCUUGUGCAUUUUAACUGUGGAGUAGUAGUCAUGUACUGUCUUUGUGCGUAUCAUAUGGUGGCCACCAGCUCAGUGGGGUCUUUUUACCCUUUCUCCAUUUAUUGAAUUAUUUCAAUUUAUAAAUUGCAUGGUGGAUAUAUAUAUAUAUUUCUUGCGUUAAUUUCUAUUUAUCAUACAUUUAAAAUAUGAACUUGUAAAUUUUAUCAUACAUUUUGCAUCUUAAAUAAUCUAGUAUACAUAAAAUUUUCUACAUGAGUAUUUUUUAUAUUGAUUGUGUCGUAAUAAUAAUGUCAAAGAUAACGUUUUUGUGUGAUUAAUUUUGCAGAACGAAGAACAAGGUGAAUGCA
rnacentral:misc_RNA from 1 species